rfam:Trachymyrmex zeteki contig2501, whole genome shotgun sequence.
CAAACGGCCCUUUUCAAGGCCACAUAAACUUACCACAAACGGCCCU